UAAUUUAAGGGGGUUUUGAGUAGACAGUACCGUAAAAUGGGGCGAUUAGGGACAAAUUCCAACUUUAUGAGCAAUUUUAAGGUAGUUGUUGAUGUAUAUAAUGCUAUAUCAAGAUCAAAAUGAUUGAGUCUUGGGGGCAUCUUUGUUGUCUAAUUUAAAAUUAUGCAAUUAACAUUCCAGUUUAAGCAAAAAAUGCAAAACUAGGUGUAAUCCCUAUUUACCCGAAAAUUGCGGUUAAUUGGGACGAAAUGAGAAAUUUGCUAGGGUUGGCACUACUUUUAUUUUUAUAUAUAGUUUUAAUUUAUUUAUUUAUUUAGUUGCACCAACAAAGUGAUCAUCAAUAAAAAAAAUUGAAAAACUGACAAAAGUACAUGGCAGACAUCACCUCAAUUAUAGGUGCAAUCGACAGUGCUGAUAUUUCUAUCUGGGUUAAGAGAUUAGGUGUGUCGGUUAUUCCAUGGAUUAAUCAGAUGAAUACCCCCACUCUGAACAAAUAUUAAAUAUUUUAUUAUGUAUUACUUAGACAUUUUUGUCCACCUUGAGAUUUCAUUUAUCUUGUUACAUGUCUCUGCAAAAUCGACUUACUUAUAUUAAAUUGCUUAUCUAUUUCAACUAAAGACUUAUUCCCAAUUUCGCUUCGAAUAAACCAGAUUUUUACCAACAAAUUUAAAAAAUAUUGUUAUAACUACAUAGACAACCCUACAAACCUGUACCUAUUUAUACUUAGGUCGUUUCCAUUUCACGUUAUUUCAUCCCAAUUGACCCCUUUUUCGUUGUUAUUUAUACCUAAGACGUCCCCAAUAUCCCCAAAAACAACAGAUUUUUACAUGUAUUUUUAUUUAAUCAAAUACAUUAAAACCAAUAACAACUGAGACUUACCUUUAAUAUAUAUGCUGGUUCAAACACUAAAUAACGUUUAUAAAUCAUAGUCGUCUUCUAUUAUUAUCAAAUAAAUAAAAGAGAGCAAAGUUUCUAGCACUAAAACAAUUACCACCACAGGAAGUUAAUUUGAAACGCGAUUUUUUAUAAGUUAGCAGCUAUUAUCAUGCAUAUUCAGAGUUGUUUUGUGAACUUUCAACAUUCUACUAUUAAACUACAAAAAAUGGAAGAUUUUGCAACGAAUUUAAAACUUAUAUUGAGCGUCGAAAGAUUUUCCCGGUUUUUUCCCGAUUCGCCUCUCAAUCCCUAAUCGCCCCAUUUUACCGGUAUAUAAAUAUAAUAUAUAACUUUAUAUGUAAAUGAACGAAACUAAGAUGUCAUGUAAAUUUGUAAGUGGUUAAUAUAAUGUUUUGUAAAAGUGUAAAUAGAAAUGUAAAACACAGUGCAUUAAAUUAUAUUUAAGUGUUAUUAAAUUUUUUGAGGCUAUAAAUAAUUUCAUUUAAAUGUAUCAUAAAUUUAUUCAAUGUUUCCUCUUUUUUUGUAAUUUCAUUGCAAUCUUUAAAGUCUAUGUUAUUUAUUCGACAUAUAGUCUCAAAUUCAUACCUUGUAUUAAAAUAUUUUGGACAAUGAUAUAAUAAAUGUUCCAUCGUUUGUAUGGUGUUUGAAUCGCAGGGACAAAAAGGGUCUUGUGUUAUACGAAAUCUGUGAUGUAUAAUCUGGAAAUAUCUGCUUGGUGUAUUUACAAUUAUCUACUUCAUUAUACAGAUUAGUAAUUUCUUUAGUAA